GUGGAUGACAUGAUGGCAGCUUCAUUCCGAAUAUUGGCCCUAACGGUCAUGUAGGAAAAAGUCAGGAUAAGUACAUAAUUAAUGGCAACAGAGCUCUCUUAAAUUUGUUGUCAGCCAGCCAACAGAAAACACCAGUUUCUCUGAGGCACUUCUUCAAGGUUCUUUAGUUCAAACUGUUCUUUUUUUUUUUUUUCUGAAGACUGUGAACCUCUAUGGCCAAGAACACAAGG
rnacentral:lncRNA from 1 species